GCUGUCCUUCCAAGCACAGGAGUAGCUUCUCAUUAUACAAGCAACUCAAAAUGAAGAGUCACAAAAGGCAACAUCUCCUUGAUGAUUUCCCCCAAUUAUCCUGUCCAUGCUACUGUCUGGAAGCAGAGGAUGGAGUGGGUUCCCUUGGCAUCCCAGAGUGGGCAGAGGCUCCACACCCGGCGUGGAGACCAAUGUGGAGCUUGAACUCACAACCCUGAGAUCAAGAUCUGAGCUGAGAUCAAGAGUUGGAUGCUCUACCAACUGAGCUACCCAGGCACCCCAAGAUAACUGUACUCUUAAUCCCUAUCACCUAUUUCAUCCAUCCCUCCAUCUACCUCUCUCUGGUAACAAUCUGUCUGUU